rnacentral:rRNA from 1 species
CCUACGGGUGGCAGCAGUGAGGAAUAUUGGUCAAUGGACGAGAGUCUGAACCAGCCAAGUAGCGUGAAGGAUGACUGCCCUAUGGGUUGUAAACUUCUUUUAUAAAGGAAUAAAACGAGGCACGUGUGCCCUUUUGCAUGUACUUUAUGAAUAAGGAUCGACUAACUCCGUGCCAGCAGCCGCGGUAAUACGGAGGAUCCGAGCGUUUUCCGGAUUUAUUGGGUUUAAAGGGAGCGUAGAUGGGUUGUUAAGUCAGUUGUGAAAGUUUGGGGCUCAACCGUAAAAUUGCAAUUGAUACUGGCAGUCUUGAGUACAGUUGAGGUAGGCGGAAUUCGUGGUGUAGCGGUGAAAUGCUUAGAUAUCACGAAGAACCCCGAUUGCGAAGGCAGCUUACUAAACUGUGACUGACAUUGAUGCUCGAAAGUGUGGGUAUCAAACAGGAUUAGAUACCCCAGUAGUC